CCAUUAAAGGGGAACGUGAGCUGGGUUUAGACCGUCGUGAGACAGGUCGGAUGCUAUCUACCGGGGGUGCUGGCCGCCUGAGGGGAAGGCGCCCUUAGUACGAGAGGAACAGGGUGCCGCGGCCUCUGGUCUACCGGUUGUCCUACAGGGCAUAGCCGGGCAGCUACGCCGCGUCCGAUAAGGCCUGAAGGCAUCUAAGGCCGAAGCGGUCCCCGAAAAUAGGCGGCCACUCCCU
rnacentral:rRNA from 1 species